UACGGAGGGUGCAAGCGUUAUCCGGAUUCACUGGGUUUAAAGGGUGCGUAGGUGGGUUGGUAAGUCAGUGGUGAAAUCCCCGAGCUUAACUUGGGAACUGCCAUUGAUACUAUCAGUCUUGAAUACGGUGGAGGUCGACGGAAUAUGUCAUGUAGCGGUGAAAUGCUUAGAUAUGACAUAGAACACCGAUUGCGAAGGCAGCUUCCCAAGCCGAUACUGACGCUGAGGCUCGAAAGCGUGGGGAUCAAACAGG
rnacentral:rRNA from 1 species